CGUCAGGCGGCGGGCGAUGCAGGCCUGCUGCUCAACUCAACUUUUAAAUGCAGGACUGUAUUUGAUACCGCGAAGGACAAAACCACGAACUACAUACACGAUUCAGUCAAAAGCAUCAGUUCCUCACGGCUGAACAGGACUAGCAGCUGUACUCUGUGCUCCUUCUGAAUCACAGAAAACUUCAGCCUGUCAUGGGGAGUGAGCCCAGAAAUCAUCUUCAUCACCAAGGACCUCCUCCAGAUCAGCCUUGCUGGUGUGUGCAGCUGGACAUGCCUUCGCUCUGCAGAGCUUUGUGGUCUAGGUUCAGACCAAACUGGGCCAGAAGCAGAACAUCAGGUACGAAUAGCAGGGAUGUCACUUUUGGCCCCCUGCACCAGAUGCUCUUCCAGCUACGCCUGUGUCAUGAUAUGAUGUAGAUGAAAAUUACAAGCAGGAGUGGAGGUAAGACACACCAUUGUUUACGCCAAUACUGACUCUAAGCGGCUUCAAUUUAGUGCCAAGGAUGCAGACACAACUCUUACUGCAUUCAUUCAGGGACCAAAUAGCAUGCAAUAGUGGCACCAGGACCCCAAAUUCCUGCAGUAGCCCCAAGGUAUGUGCCAGGGAACAUGAUUAUACUACAGAAAGCACAUGUAGAGUGUGCUAGCAUAUUCUCACAGAGCUGUCAAAGGAGUCGAGUUUGUCCACUACGUGACCAUGUCAGAAUGCACAUUGUUCCUCCUGAAUCCUAGGUUCAAAUAUGAAGUGGAGCUAGAAGAGUUUGCCAUCCCAGAUGCACUUUACCCACCUUCUGUGCAAUAUCAAGCAAAGGACCCCAACAGAACUGCUUUCUGUGUCUCUGGAUGGAUGUUAUCUCUGCAGCCUUUCCACCACAAAGUCAUGUGAUCGCUAUCAUCUUUUCAGCUGGUGUGGAGCGGCAGCUCUGAUCCACCAGAAGUUUCAUACUUCUGGUUCCUGCCAGUAACCUUCCUCAGAGCCCUGACCUUUGGGGUCUUAAAUUCAGCUCCGUUGCAGCGUGUCCCUCUUCAUAGACAGCUGGUUACGAGCCUUGGGAGAACCGCAAAAGUAUGAAAAAAAAAAGGGAGAGGAGGGAAAGCCAGAGAAGGUCCGUCCAAAGCGCCCGGCCCGGGUUGCUUUUACUUCUUCCGUUCCUGCAUUUCUUCCACGUCGAGUGGAGAUUUACGCUAACGAGGGCCGGGGCGGAAGAGAGGCCAGGCUGCUCGCUGGGAAUGGAAGAAACAGAGGAGAGCACAAUGACUCGAUAGGCAGCGGCGGUGGGCCUCAAUCGGACACGCUGCUGUCUAAAUGACGGGUGUUAGGAAUGAUUUACGACGGGUAACCAGGCAACGUGGGAUGAUCCGGCUGCUCGUUAUCCCGGCUAGCUCAUUAUCCCCAGUAUUCCGCUCCUGCUGAAACCUACACCCUGUGACCAUAAACUCCAGCCACACAGUUAACCAGGAACUGUUUUCUCCGACAACCUUUUAAAUGAACUCGUUAAGGUAACGGGGAGUGGAUAAACAGAGCCAUCUGCACCCUUUGUGCUGGAUCACAGACUUCUCUGCCACUCUGACUGCGAUGCUCCACUUUGCCGGGAUGUUUUGGGCCGUCUGGACGAUGCUGGUGUGAUCUCACUGUCAGGAAGGUGACCUCUGCGUUCUGGUCGUCUCCUGGCUCCCUUGUCAGAAGUUCCCCUCCAAAGACUUACACGCUCACAUGCACGUGCGCACACGCACACACACACACACACACGCUGCAUCCUUUACUCCCCCAUGCACCAUCUCUCUCCGCUUUUCUGUCGCUGUUCCCACGUACACAAACACAAAACGCUUGGCCGCCCUCCACGUCACAUAUGUGCAAUUAGCCAUUAAAAAAAGAACACAGAUAAAAGAAUUAUGGAACUGCAAAGGCAGUGUACCAUGAUAUCGAGGUACAGAAGUUUCCAGAACAGCUUUCCUGUAAACAGCAAUUGAUGGGCACCUCUUCUAGGACACAUUUGCAUGCGGCUUCAUGUUGCUUAAAAGUGCUCAACAUAUAAACGCGUUUAAACUGCACAGCAUGGUGCCGAUAUGCAGAAAACUGGACUUCUGACAAUCAGAAGCUCAUGGUUGCGAUCAUGAGCCAGAAAUGCAUUAAAUCCCUUUGAAUCGCUCUCACUUUCGGUCACUGAAAUAUCGUAUGGAUCCUCGCACUUCUUACCUUGCCUGUCCUUAAUUCCUAUCUCAGAAAUAAGCAAUUUUACAGAGUUUAAGCUGUAGAGAGCGAGGAACAUAAAGCCUGUAAAUCUGGUGAUAAAAACAUUGAGCUGUCAGAGGUGCCACCGGCCAUCAAUCGUGCGCCGCAAGCUGAUGAAGGAGAAAUAGGUGAUAAAAACAGCAUUUUAGCAAAAUUAUGCCCGGCCUUCCAUUUGCAAAGUGCUGCAGUCACAUCGCAGUAGAAUUUUAAUCACGGGGCUGGUGCAGGGGGGAGUCUGCAGUGUGUCAGAAAGGAGAAAGAAAGGGGGGAACUGAGAGAGAGAGAAAUAGAGGACAGGACAGCAAGACGGGGAAAGGGAGCCACGGAGGAGGCUGGACAUCACUGGAAGAGGAUAAAAUGAACUGGACAGGCUGCCUCGCAGGCCAACUGCACUGGCGGAAUUUCAGGGGGGGGCUCUUGGCAACUGGAACAGCAAACGUUAUGAGGAUGGUAUCUAGAUGCUUGGGAAAGGAUCUGCUGUGUAUUAAUCUCUUAUUAAAUCCUAUGCCUUUUGCUCCGUCCCCUCCCUGUACUCCAUCUCUCUCUCCUGCAUAAAAUUAUCAUAAAAAUUGUUUUUGGUUUUGCAGAUAGAAAAGCAGACAGAAGUUAAACCACAUCACAAAUCACAGAGGCGAACGGCCUCCAUGUCGAGCGCGAGCAGAACGGCAGUAAAUCGUACGCCGAACUAGUUUCUUGUUUAUUUAAAAUAGAUAGUAAGCGUUUUAAAACUGAAUAUCUUAGGUCUUACCCAAUUGUCAUAAAUCAAGGUGCUUUAGUCUCUGGAUGGUCUGGAAUGGCUGGAACAGUCUGUGAUAAUGAAUAACCACAUCGUUAAGGCUGGAACAUUCUGUGACAGUUUGGUUAAAUAUUGCAGUCUUAUGUCUUUCUGUCAACUGAGGAUUAUCCGCUGUCCGUAAAUUUGUUUUAGGUCUUGGGGAGUUGUGUAAAUUCAGGUAUUUUCUCCAACCUAAUUACAUAAUUACCUUGUUAGCUCGUAAUUUUUGAUGCAUUUCAGGCAUUACACUUGAACGUUACACACUUGAUGUGUUUGGAAGGUGAGAUGUCGAUUCUUACCGCGUUUUACAUCAUAUUGAGAGUAAUAAACCAGCUUUGCAAACAGAGCUAAUCCACUGAGAUUGUAUGAGCACUUUUUCUUAUUUAAAAUAUUGCUGAAUUCAAUUUGUGUUUGGUUGAAAUUUCAACUGAGAUCUUAUGACCUUUUCCAUGCUUUCCUUGUGCCUUUCAGCAUGUUGUUACUUUUCUCUUUAGGUAAUAAUCUUAUUUGGAAUGUUUCUCCAUGGCCUUGGCCAACGGAAUUCCUGCAGGAUUUAAAACUGGUUUCUGCAGGGUUUCUGACAGCUGAACCGGGGUAAUGAACUCUGUUACAGCGAGCUGAUGUUGCUGCAUCAUUGGCUGUAUCAGGUGGGUGUGGCCUCUGGUUCGGCGAAUCCAUGUGAAGAGCAUACAUCUGGGUAGCCUCCUGGCAUUAACUAGGAAACACUGCAGACUACCUAAGGUUUAGUGAACUGGAAGCCAAGAUGAACAAAAAAAAUAAAUAAAGUUUAGGCUGACUUGUGGAGUCGCCAGAGAAUUUAAUUAAAUUUAUCGUCAUACGGUUUCUUUUCCAACAAUUUCCCCGUAGCACUUAACAAAGAUUCGGCAACCACCAAAUAAGUGAGUUUGAACCAGAUGAGAAGAGACGUGUGGGCAAACAUAACUUUAAUCAAUACUUACACAACGUGAAGUAGAGACUCAAAUGAGGUGGGAUUAAGAGUCAGAAAAAGGCCAGGGAUUGAAAGAGAGCAGAGCGGGCAGUAAAUUGUGAUAUGAAGUAAUGCAGACAAGUACUUUCUUCCUGGCUGAAAUGGGAAAAAGGGAAUUGAAAGGGUUUCUAGACAUAGUUUCCAUUGCAGUUUGUAUGCGUGUGUCUGCCGGGGAGAAGGGGUCUCUAAGAGGAGAGCAGAGCAGAGAGGAGGAGAGGAGAGAAGAGGAGAGAAGAAGAGAGAAGAAGAGAGGAUAGAAGAGGAGAACAGAGUAGAGAGGAAGAGAGGAGGUGAGGAGAGAAGAGGAGAGAAGAGCAGAAGUGAGGAGAGAAGAGGAGAGCAGAGAGGAGGAGAGAAGAAGAGAGGAGAGCAGAGCAGAGAGGAGGAGAGAAGAGGAGAGUAGAGAGGAGAGCAGAGCAGAGAGGAGGAGAGGAGAGCAGAGUAGAGAGGACGAGAGGAGAGAAGAGGAGAGCAAAGAGGAAGAGAGGAGAGCAGAGGAGAGAGGAAGAGAGGAGAGAAGAGCAGAGCAGAGAGGAGAGAAGAGGAGAGAAGAAGAGAGGAUAGAAGAGGAGAGCAGAGUAGAGAGGAUAGAAGAAGAGAGGAAGAGAGAAGAGGAGAGCAGAGGAGAGAGGAAGAGAGGAGAUAAGAGGAGAGCAGAAGAGAGGAUAGAAGAGGAGAGCAGAGUAGAGAGGAUAGAAGAGGAGAGCAGAGCAGAGAGGAGGAGAGAAGAGGAGAGCAGAGUAGAGAGGAAGAGAGGAGAGAAGAGGAGAGCAGAGAGGAACAGAGGAGAGAAGAGGAGAGCAGAGCAGAGAGGAACAGAGGAGAGCAGAGCAGAGAGGAACAGAGGAGAGCAGAGGAGAGAGGAUGAGAGGAGAGCAGAGUAGAGAGGAAGAGAGAAGAGAAGAGGAGAGCAGAGGAGAGAGGAUGAGAGGAGAGAAGAGCAGAGUAGAGAGGAAGAGAGGAGAGCAGAGUAGAGAGGAAGAGAGGAGAGCAGAGGAGAGGCUGUUUCAGACUAGAGAGCAGAGGAAUGGAGAGGUGCCUGUCUGUAGGUGUGCAGAAGGUCAGUCCAAAACACAUCAAGUGUGCAUCACCCUCAUCAGACAGAUCGCUAACGAUCCACUAAGUCCAUCUAAAGGAUGUGUGAUGCAGACAGAAUCAUUGCUGGGAGUGAUAAAGCCAGUGAUGGGGGCAGAGAGGAGCUGCUUUGCAGCCAAGACCUACAGAGCUCAGAGCUGCAGACAGGGCCUGGCGGGGGAUCAGCCACAAGACCGACGCUGCAUCCUCCCUCUCCUCCUUCUCCCCUUGCAGUCAGCACCUUCACCCAUCCCCCACCCCCCACGACCGAAGUGGAGCCCAAA